rnacentral:rRNA from 1 species
GGGCCUCUCGCGUCAGGAUAUGCCUAGGUGGGAUUAGCUAGUUGGUGAGGUAAGGGCUCACCAAGGCGACGAUCCCUAGCUGGUCUGAGAGGAUGAUCAGCCACACUGGAACUGAGACACGGUCCAGACUCCUACGGGAGGCAGCAGUGGGGAAUAUUGCACAAUGGGCGCAAGCCUGAUGCAGCCAUGCCGCGUGUGUGAAGAAGGCCUUCGGGUUGUAAAGCACUUUCAGUCGUGAGGAAGGUAGUGUAGUUAAUAGCUGCAUUAUUUGACGUUAGCGACAGAAGAAGCACCGGCUAACUCCGUGCCAGCAGCCGCGGUAAUACGGAGGGUGCGAGCGUUAAUCGGAAUUACUGGGCGUAAAGCGCAUGCAGGUGGUUUGUUAAGUCAGAUGUGAAAGCCCGGGGCUCAACCUCGGAAUAGCAUUUGAAACUGGCAGACUAGAGUACUGUAGAGGGGGGUAGAAUUUCAGGUGUAGCGGUGAAAUGCGUAGAGAUCUGAAGGAAUACCGGUGGCGAAGGCGGCCCCCUGGACAGAUACUGACACUCAGAUGCGAAAGCGUGGGGAGCAAACAGGAUUAGAUACCCUGGUAGUCCACGCCGUAAACGAUGUCUACUUGGAGGUUGUGGCCUUGAGCCGUGGCUUUCGGAGCUAACGCGUUAAGUAGACCGCCUGGGGAGUACGGUCGCAAGAUUAAAACUCAAAUGAAUUGACGGGGGCCCGCACAAGCGGUGGAGCAUGUGGUUUAAUUCGAUGCAACGCGAAGAACCUUACCUACUCUUGACAUCCAGAGAACUUUCCAGAGAUGGAUUGGUGCCUUCGGGAACUCU